AGUGAACGCUGGCGGUAGGCCUAACACAUGCAAGUCGAACGGCAGCACAGUAAGAGCUUGCUCUUACGGGUGGCGAGUGGCGGACGGGUGAGGAAUAAAUAGGAAUCUACUUUUUCGUGGGGGAUAACGUAGGGACACUUACGAUAAUACCGCAUACGACCUACGGGUGAAAUCAGGAGAUCUUCGGACCUUGCGCGAUUGAUUGAGCCGAUGUCGGAUUAGCUAGUUGGCGGGGUAAAGGCCCACCAAGGCGACGAUCCGUAGCUGGUCUGAGAGGAUGAUCAGCCACACUGGAACUGAGACACGGUCCAGACUCCUACGGGAGGCAGCAGUGGGGAAUAUUGGGCAAUGGGCGCAAGCCUGAUCCAGCCAUACCGCGUGGGUGAAGAAGGCCUUCGGGUUGUAAAGCCCUUUUGUUAGGAAAGAAAAUCAGCAGGUUAAUAUCCCGCUGUUUUGACGGUACCCAAAGAGUAAGCAGCGGCUAACUUCGUG
rnacentral:rRNA from 1 species